rnacentral:lncRNA from 1 species
CUUCUGGGAAUUUUUUCUUUCGCUUUCUCUGUCUUUUCCAGACCUGAAAAGAGGAGUUGAACUUCAAUAGCUUGUCAAAGCAGGGACUGUGAGGCUGCAGCUGGGAGCAGUGCUGCCCUGGGCCUUGUGUCUGGAAUUUCUGGAAAGGCCUGAAUGCCUCAAAGAAGCAAUUUCUGGUAGAAGUCUGAAGAUCAUUUCUGAGAAAAAAGAAAAAAUAAUCAAUGAAUUAAGGACAAGAAGGUUUCCAGUCAGGUAGGAACACUGAAUGUCACAUGCUGAAUCAUGUUAAGUGUGUUGUUGGCUGGAUCAUUGUUUGAAAAAAAGCAUUUCCAGUGUACCCUACUAGGAAGUUGCUGACAAUUCCCUUGGAGGUAGUGGUGUUUGUAAGAGAGUUUCCUUGGAGG